ensembl:rRNA 5S_rRNA 5S ribosomal RNA
GUCUACGACCAUGCCACUCUGAACACACCCAAUCCUGGCUCAUCUUGGAAGCUAAGCAGAGUUGGGCCUGGUUGGUACUUGGUCGAGAGACCACCUAGGAAGAUUGGGUGCAGUAAGCG